AUUGAACGCUGGCGGCAGGCCUAACACAUGCAAGUCGAGCGAUGAAGUUUCCUUCGGGAAACGGAUUAGCGGCGGACGGGUGAGUAACACGUGGGUAACCUGCCUUGUAGAGGGGGAUAGCCUUCCGAAAGGAAGAUUAAUACCGCAUAAUAUUGUAGUAUCGCAUGGUACAACAAUCAAAAGAGCAAUCUGCUACAAGAUGGACCCGCGGCGCAUUAGCUAGUUGGUAAGGUAAUGGCUUACCAAGGCGACGAUGCGUAGCCGACCUGAGAGGGUGAUCGGCCACAUUGGGACUGAGACACGGCCCAGACUCCUACGGGAGGCAGCAGUGGGGAAUAUUGCACAAUGGGGGAAACCCUGAUGCAGCAACGCCGCGUGAGUGAUGACGGUCUUCGGAUUGUAAAACUCUGUCUUUGGGGACGAUAAUGACGGUACCCAAGGAGGAAGCCACGGCUAACUACGUGCCAGCAGCCGCGGUAAUACGUAGGUGGCAAGCGUUGUCCGGAUUUACUGGGCGUAAAGGGAGCGUAGGCGGAUUUUUAAGUGGGAUGUGAAAUACUCGGGCUCAACCUGAGUGCUGCAUUCCAAACUGGAGAUCUAGAGUGCAGGAGGGGAGAGUGGAAUUCCUAGUGUAGCGGUGAAAUGCGUAGAGAUUAGGAAGAACACCAGUGGCGAAGGCGACUCUCUGGACUGUAACUGACGCUGAGGCUCGAAAGCGUGGGGAGCAAACAGG
rnacentral:rRNA from 1 species